rnacentral:rRNA from 1 species
GAGCCCGCUCAAGAAACUUAAAGGAAUUGACGGGGGCCCGCACAAGCGGUGGAGCAUGUGGUUUAAUUCGAUGCAACGCGAAGAACCUUACCUGGUCUUGACGUCCACGGAAGACUGCAGAGAUGCGGUUGUGCCUUCGGGGACCGUGAGACAGGUGCUGCAUGGCUGUCGUCAGCUCGUGUUGUGAAAUGUUGGGUUAAGUCCCGCAACGAGCGCAACCCUUAUCCUUUGUUGCCAGCGGUCCGGCCGGGAACUCAAAGGAGACUGCCAGUGAUAAACUGGAGGAAGGUGGGGAUGACGUCAAGUCAUCAUGGCCCUUACGACCAGGGCUACACACGUGCUACAAUGGCAUAUACAAAGAGAAGCGACCUCGCGAGAGCAAGCGGACCUCAUAAAGUAUGUCGUAGUCCGGAUUGGAGUCUGCAACUCGACUCCAUGAAGUCGGAAUCGCUAGUAAUCGUGGAUCAGAAUGCCACGGUGAAUACGUUCCCGGGCCUU